rnacentral:rRNA from 1 species
GUGCCAGCAGCCGCGGUAAUACGUAGGGUGCGAGCGUUAAUCGGAAUUACUGGGCGUAAAGCGUGCGUAGGCGGUCCCGCAAGUCCGCUGUGAAAGCCCCGAGCUUAACUUGGGAACUGCAGUGGAAACUAUGGGACUUGAAUCCGGCAGAGGGGGGUGGAAUGCCACGUGUAGCAGUGAAAUGCGUAGAGAUGUGGCGGAACACCGAUGGCGAAGGCAGCCCCCUGGGCUGAGAUUGACGCUCAGGCACGAAAGCGUGGGGAGCAAACAGGAUUAGAAACCCGGGUAGUCC